GAGUUUGAUCAUGGCUCAGGACGAACGCUGGCGGCGUGCUUAAUACAUGCAAGUCGAGCGAGGUUACUGCGACAGAUCCCUUCGGGGUGAAGUUGCUUUARCCUAGCGGCGGACGGGUGAGUAACGCGUGGGUAACCUACCCUAAAGUUCGGGAUAACAGCGGGAAACCGCUGCUAAUACCGGAYGCCUUUACCGUGUGGCAUCACARGGUAAAGAAAGGURACGCUUUAGGAUGGGCCCGCGUCCCAUUAGCUAGUUGGUGAGGUAACAGCUCACCAAGGCGACGAUGGGUAGCCGGCCUGAGAGGGUGGACGGCCACACUGGGACUGAGACACGGCCCAGACUCCUACGGGAGGCAGCAGUAGGGAAUAUUGCGCAAUGGACGGAAGUCUGACGCAGCGACGCCGCGUGAGCGAUGAAGGCCUUCGGGUCGUAAAGCUCUGUCCUUGGGGAAGAAGGUCUUCGGACUUGACGGUACCCAAGAAG
rnacentral:rRNA from 1 species